UCAUUCAUAGAGUCAGUUUGGGAAGGGGAAUUUUCGCUGAACUCUCAUAGAGAAACUGUGUUUUAGAUAACAGAAAGUUCUGCACGGUUAAAAUGGAACAGAAUUUUUUUUGCACAGAAAUUAGGAUUACCGAAAAUACUGAAGAAAGACUACCUCUGAUUGGACUCUUCUCAAGGAAUUAAUAAUUCAAGAACUAAGGAAAGAAAAAAGUGAUUAUAUGAAAAUACUGAAGUUGAUCGUAGCAACUGAAGGCUGAUCCUGUAGUCUCACUGUAUCACCCAGGCUGAAGUACAUUGGUGCAAUCUUGGCUCACUGCAUCUCCACCCCAGGUUCAAGCGAUUCUCCUGCCUCAGCCUCCCAAGCAGCUGGGAUUACAGAAUGUCACAUAAAUGGAAUCAUGCUGUGUCCGGAAUUGGUGGGUUCUUGGUCUCACUGACUUCAAGAAUGACGCCAUGGACCCUCACGGUGAGUGUUACAGCUCUUAAGGUGGCGCGUCUGGAGUUUGUUCCUUCUGAUGUUCGGAUGUGUUCGGAGUUUCUUCCUUCUGGUGGGUUCGUGGUCUCGCUGGCUCAGGAGUGAAGCUGCAGACUUUCGUGAUGGAGUCUCACUCUGUUGCCCAGCCUGUAGUACAGUGGCACAAUCUCAGCUCACUGCAACCUCUGCCUCCCAGGUUCAAGUGAUUCUCCUGCCUCAGCCUCCUGAGUAGCUGGGAUUACAGCACCAUAGGUUUUAAAAGGCAGUGUUCCCAUAAGAAAUAAUGGCAAAGAAAGGAACUCCCAGUCACAUUCAGCAAACCUGUUUUCCCAGCUAAUUCAUGCACUGGUUGAUGCAGAUACAUCAGACAGAUGGUAUACAUCUCUUCGUGACUCAAUCUGCUGAACGAUGCAACUGUCACAGUAUCCAACAGGCAGGGUCUUACUCUGUCACCUGGCCUGGAGUACAGUGGCACAAUCACGCUUCACUGCAGCCUCAACCUUCCUGGCUCAAGCGAUCUUCCUACCUCAGGCUUCCAAGUAGUUGGGACAGAUGGUCUUACUCUGUUGCCCAGGCUGAAGUGCAGUGGCACGAUCUUGGCUCACUAUAACCUUUGCCUCCCGGAUUCAAGCAAUUCUCCUGCCUCAGCCUCCCAAGUAGCUGGGACUACAGCAACUGUGGAAGACCAGAUUCUCAAGAAGGAGAUGCUGAGAUAGAGUUUGGGAGGCAAAAUGUUUAUUAAGGACCCAUACCUGUGAAAGGAAGGAAGAAAAAGCAGGACUGGGCAGAGGGAAAGUCAACCUGUGCUGCAGGCUCGACCAAGCUCAGCCAAUCAGCAGGUCACUCUAGAAUGAGAAGUGCUCAUCAGGGCUUUCCAGCAUCAAGUUUAAAUGGCUGGACCUUUAUACCUCUGCCUUGCUCAGUCACCAAAUGUGGGCUACCCCAGGAAGGGCAUGACCUCAGGUGAGGCAGCCCUGCAGCUGAAGCAGGCUCUGAAGGAACUGAAAGCUGGUAUUGUCUGCUGCCCUCUCUCUGCAGCUAGGCAGCAUGUCCUUUCUUGAAGGUGAUCUGGGCAACACAUCACCAUGUGUCUCACAAUGACAUACAGACAUGAAGGGACAUAAAUCCUAAGUAUACAAUUUGGUGACCUCACCCAGCUCAAAAAGUAGAAAUGAUCUGCAUCACAGAACCCCCAUUUAUUCCUCUUCUCAGUCAAUCUUUCUUCCCAAGGUAACCACUAUCCUUCUUCUAUCACCAUAGACUCAUUUACCUGCUUUUUAAAUUUUUAACUGUGGUCAAAUACACAUAAUAUAAAACUUA